GCCAGUGCUGUCCACUCUCAAGAAGGGAGUGGGGGGUUUAAUUAGACAUCAGGUGGGGGAUGCUUUAAGGGGGAAGCUAGUGUCCCUCAUCUCCCCCAGUCCCCACCCAUGGGGGCCCUAAUAGUUCUAAAAUGAGGGGGGACCAUAGAGUCCCUUAUAAUACCUUAAAGGCCCUAACCUGACAAAAUGAAUGGGGGCCCUAAGUAGUAUAGUAGGGAGGUGAG